CACUUUGUUGACUUAUGCAAUAUAGGAGUGCCCCUGGGAGCCCAUCUCUUGUCUCUGACAGAGAUAACUGUGAGUUUGAACUUUUCACCAGACACUCCCAGGGAAAGCCAGCCUGUUGCACUGUGAGCUUUGUGAGUUCGGAUUCUCCAUCAUUGGUUCCUUGUAGCGUUCCUCCUGGACUUCUGUUUCCUCAGCCUGACCCUGUUUGGAGUCCAUUUGGGUCUGGAUCUCGUCUUCUGUUUAGAGAAAAUGAUGUCCUCCAAAAUGCUGUCAGAAAGCCCCUAAACAAGGUCAGAAGCCCAGGACCAAAGCACCCAAGAUUCAGCCUCCUGUUACUCCACGUGUCCUGCAACACAAAUACUGACAUAUUACUCUGAAGAAACAGCACACCAAGAAGGAGGAGUCUGCAGAAUAUGCUAAACUUUUAGCCAAGAGAAUGAGGAAGCCAAAGAAAAAUGGAAAGAAUUCGAGAUGUGACUCUCUUUGGCCCAGACCUGAUGAGCACUGUGUGUGUGUGUGCGAAAAGCAGGACUCCACGUGGAUAGUAGGGUUAGGCUGAGACUGAACACCUCUGGAGGCCAGGAGUCUUCCUUGAUUACUUGCCACUGUAUUCUUUAAGACAGAGAGAGCAUCUUGCUGACUCUGAAGCUUGCUGAUUCUGCUAGACUAACUGACUUGUUAGCCCUGGGAAAUUCCUGCCUCUGUUUCUCCAGAGCUGGGAUUACAAGCGGACAUCACGGCUCUGCUUUUUUCCUGGGGUUCUGGGCAUCAAAUUGAGGUCCUCAUAUUUGCAUAAUAACCACCAAUUUGUUGUGUUUAUUUUCUAUUCUCAACUUAGCACCAUUUAUAUUCGACAAAUUAUCUUUUUUGUGUUGGUUUAUAAAUAUUUCCCUAGAAAUGUAGUUAUGACCUGGGGUGAUGCAGAAAUUUGAUUUUCAGCCCUCCCCAAAGUAACAGUGUAUCCAGACUGUUGGAUUUAAGAAGCACAUUUCAAAACGCUCAAGAGAAGCAGCAAGCGACUGAGGGCAGAGAUGGCCCAUUGCUGCAUUUUCACAUGCAUGGUCACCGCGGGGGUGGGGGGAGAGGACGCCACUUUGUAGCAUGAGGACUCUGCACUGUUGCCAGGGAGGGGGUCAGGAGGCAGCAGCGACUGCAGGGGGAUUCCAUCCCUGACUCUCUAAGGUGCAGUGCUUGGCAGUCAUCUCCAUCAAAGUGCGUUUCCUUUCUAGGUCAGGGUGCGUGCCCUACUGGCCCAGCACAGGCAGGGCUGCAGGAUCACUCCUGUUCUCCCUGGUGAAAAGAUUCCUCUCCAUUACUGAAAGUGAAUCUAGGAAGCAGAGCUGACGUAACCAGCAGUCCUGAGCCCUUGACUUCUCUAUAUGGAACUGAGAUGGAAUCCUCUAAGGAGUGCUUGCCAUUGGAAAAUUGGUUUUUGUACUAACAACUCACAGUCAUUAAGAGUCAGUCACAUGCAUCUCUCUUCAGUGCCUUGAGGGUAACUCAGGUUAUUCUGAUUGAAACCAUGUCACUAUAGAAAGAAUGGGAGAAUGAAUGGUACCUGGAGGAAGAAGAAAAAUUCACCUCGAAACAUCCAAAUUUUCCUACAUGGUGACGAAUAUUGGUUCUCGUUAGAAAAAUGUCAACUUCUGCCUUACUGUGGCCCGUGGUUUCCAGGAGAUGGAGGCUUUUAGGAGUCCCUUAGAAACUUCCCAGAUCUGCCCCCUCCAUUCAGGGUCAGCUCUGCACCCAGGAAGAAUUCAGAGAAUCUUGUUGCUACCAAGAAUCUCACAGCAGCGCCUGUGUGAGCCAGUGUCAACGCUUCAGAACUGCUUCCUGGACGCCAUCUUUUUGUAACCCCUGCACAUGCAUUAACCCCUCCCAUGGCCAACCAAGUUCAUGAAGCAGGUGUUGCCAUUGUCUCUGUUUUACAGGGGAGGAAACUGAGGACACGGAUUGUCUAGGAACUGACAGGUAACCAGUGACUACUGGGCUUCACACCCAGGUGGUGAGACUCCGGAGCUCAGGCUUGUCGGCAUUCCCUGCAGGCUGAGCCCUGGCCUGGUGAGCUUGGUUUACAUUCUCCAAGCAGAUGGUUUACUAUAAGAGCACUUAGGUCUGUUUACGUGUUUGGCACCCCUCUAUUGGAUGAUUAUGUAUCGCCACUGGAAGUUGUUAGUUGUUAUUUCUGAAGCUGACAAGUUUAGUUUUAACAAUGAUUUGUCUUCCUCUGCUCGCUUUCCCCCAGCUGCAGUUGUUUGGAUAGUACCCUCUUCAGAACAAAAGCCAAGCAGAGAUAUGUUUCUAAGAGUGGAUGGCAGAAGGUUCCUCAUUCAAAAACUUGGGAGCUGGUGAAGACAGAAGUAAACUCAGGCGAACACAACCGCUGGCUUUCUCUCAAGAUCCUGGAGUUCUCAAGAUGCACAGGCUUUAUCACUCACAGCCACACAGCAACAGUAACCAGCGUUCUAUUUGUUCCUUUUAAAAUGGAAGGAAUCUCAGAGGGCAGAGCUCUUUACCCGACAGCCGAAAGACGCCAUCCUUUGCUGUUUGAUCAGCCAGGGUCGCUGCCCAGCACCCAGGAGACAGGUUCAUGCCCGUGGUUCUCCCCCUUCUUUACGCUGCGGCCCUUUAAUACUGUUUCUCACAUUGUGGUGACCCCCAACCGUAGCACUGUUUUCAUUGCUACUUCAUAACUGUAAUUUUGCUACUGUAAUGAAUUGUAAUGUAAAUAUCUGUGUUUUUCGAUGGUCUUAGAUGACCCCUGGGAGGGGUGGCGAUCCACAGGUUGAGAACCACCAGUUCAUGCGAUGUUUUUGUCAAUCUGUGUUCCAUGGUACACUGAUUUCUUGACACCUCUCUCAACGGUCAUUUGUAUUGCCAAAUAUUGACUGCAAACUUGAAAAAAAAAAAUAGGGAACCUCCCUAUAACAAUCACAGAAUGUUAGAGCAAAAGAGAAGUGAAAGAUGACUUUGGACGGACCACCAUUUUGUAGAAGAAGAAACAGAAGCUCAGGGUAACACCCUGAUGUUUCGUGGAGCAGGGGCACAGCAAGCCUGGGUGCUCUGGCCUCACUCAGCCCCACGCUCAGCAUCAGCAGCACAAGGACUGCCUCUCACUGUCUGGCGAGUGAGCGUGUGAGGAGCUGGGGAGCUAGAAAGGAAAGUCACCCAGCACUUGACACCGAAUCCAGAAGAGAAAGUAGAGUGAACACCGCCCUUUGAGUUGCUGGUGAUGUCUAUGCAGUGCGGUAAAAUGAUUUCUGUAAAAAUACUGACCGCCCUGUAUCAGCACUGGCUUAAAACCUGUCAGUGGCUCCAUGAAGCCUAUAAAGCCAAACGUCCUCACCAGCUUCCUCUCUGUGCUGAUGCCCAAGACCUAGCCAUGGGCGGCUUUUUCUUGGCAUAGCACGCUGUGUCAUUCCACCGGGCCUUCGCUCACACUGUCCUCUGCCUGUCAUGGCCUCUUUGGUCACCCUCUAGGAAGAUCGUGUCCUUUGUAUUGGACUGUCUUGUAUCUCCCUGUCCCCUCUCGAAAGCUGAAUUGACAUUCUCUCCCUUUUUCUAUUCUUCACUGUAUCCUGCCCACGCUUCUAGAGCCAGCAAUGGUGGCGUUUUUGUAACAUUGACUGUUUUCAAAUACAUAAGUAAGUCUGUUUUUCAUACUUACUUCCAUCUUUCUCUACCAACUGAAUGUAAGUAAGACCUUUUUUUUUCACCACUAGAAUCUGACUUACAGAAUCUCUCUUGAAUGAAUUACGCCUAGAAGGCAUUAGAAGGUUGCACGGAUAUUCUGGAUGAAGCAGUCUGUUCUUGGAGUGCAGAAGUCAUCCCAGAAGCAUAAACAUAGACACCAAGGAAAGGAACAGUAGUAGAGGGUGGAUGGUAGGGACUGAUUGCAAGAAAGGAGUGUCACAAAGGUUUAGGCUGAGAAAUGGGGGCACGCUUGGGAAAUAUUGAGGUACCCAAGAGGAUGUGUUUCGGUAA